rnacentral:rRNA from 1 species
AUUGAACGCUGGCGGCAUGCUUUACACAUGCAAGUCGAACGGUAGGGUAGCAAUACCUGAGAGUGGCGAACGGGUGAGUAAUGCAUCGGAACGUGCCCAAGAGUGGGGGAUAGCCCGGCGAAAGCCGGAUUAAUACCGCAUACGAUCUAUGGAUGAAAGUGGGGGACCGCAAGGCCUCACGCUCCUGGAGCGGCCGAUGUCAGAUUAGGUAGUUGGUGGGGUAAAGGCUCACCAAGCCAACGAUCUGUAGCUGGUUUGAGAGAACGACCAGCCACACUGGGACUGAGACACGGCCCAGACUCCUACGGGAGGCAGCAGUGGGGAAUUUUGGACAAUGGGCGCAAGCCUGAUCCAGCAAUGCCGCGUGCAGGAUGAAGGCCUUCGGGUUGUAAACUGCUUUUGUACGGAGCGAAAAGGCUUCUUCUAAUACAGGAGGCUCAUGACGGUACCGUAAGAAUAAGCACCGGCUAACUACGUGCCAGCCGCCGCUGUAACAC